rnacentral:rRNA from 1 species
GACGAACGCUGGCGGCGUGCCUAAUACAUGCAAGUAGAACGCUGAAGAGAGGAGCUUGCUCUUCUUGGAUGAGUUGCGAACGGGUGAGUAACGCGUAGGUAACCUGCCUUGUAGCGGGGGAUAACUAUUGGAAACGAUAGCUAAUACCGCAUAACAAUGGAUGACACAUGUCAUUUAUUUGAAAGGGGCAAUUGCUCCACUACAAGAUGGACCUGCGUUGUAUUAGCUAGUAGGUGAGGUAAUGGCUCACCUAGGCGACGAUACAGAGCCGACCUGAGGGGGUGGACGGCCCACCUGGGACUGGGACACCGCCCAGACCCCUACGGGAGGCAGCAGGAGGGAAUCUUCGGCAAUGGGGGCAACGCUGACCGAGCAACGCCGCGGGAGUGAAGAAGGUUUUCGGAUCGUAAAGCUCUGUUGUAAGUCAAGAACGGGUGUGAGAGUGGAAAGUUCACACUGUGACGGUAGCUUACCAGAAAGGGACGGCUAACUACGUG